rnacentral:rRNA from 1 species
UACGAAGGGGGCUAGCGUUGCUCGGAAUCACUGGGCGUAAAGGGUGCGUAGGCGGGUCUUUAAGUCAGGGGUGAAAUCCUGGAGCUCAACUCCAGAACUGCCUUUGAUACUGAAGAUCUUGAGUUCGGGAGAGGUGAGUGGAACUGCGAGUGUAGAGGUGAAAUUCGUAGAUAUUCGCAAGAACACCAGUGGCGAAGGCGGCUCACUGGCCCGAGUACUGACGCUGAGGCACGAAAGCGUGGGGAGCAAGCAGG